rnacentral:rRNA from 1 species
AGGACGAACGCUGGCGGCGUGCUUAACACAUGCAAGUCGAACGGUGAAGCCUUCGGGUGGAUCAGUGGCGAACGGGUGAGUAACACGUGGGCAAUCUGCCCUGCACUCUGGGACAAGCCCUGGAAACGGGGUCUAAUACCGGAUAUUACCUGGGAGGGCAUCUUCCCGGGUGUAAAGCUCCGGCGGUGCAGGAUGAGCCCGCGGCCUAUCAGCUUGUUGGUGGGGUGAUGGCCUACCAAGGCGACGACGGGUA